CCCUACCUGCCCCUAAACAUGCGAGGAAAAGCCAGCACGAAGUGGAGGAGGAAGGGAAAUGAGCCCCAGCUGGGGACACCCGGGGGUGGGCAGCAGGCAGCUCAUGCCCUGCACCCUCCCUUUGAUACCCAGCUGCUUGGGCCAGGGAGAGGCUUUGCAGGGAGAGGAGCUGGUGAAGCUGUGCAGAGGCCCCUGGGGCUGGCUGGAUGCUCACUGUGCAGACCUCUGAGCCGGGCUUUGGCACCCGUCCCCUCUGAUGAGCCCUGGGAGCACUGCAGCAGCGAUGGGAACAUGUGCCCCCCCCAGCACGCCGGGCUGUCGGCAGAGCCAUCGCUCAUCUCGCCCAGGUUUGCUGCGUCCCACUCGCGCCAGCUCUUAUCUCCCUGUUUAUUGCUGUGAAGUAUUGAAGUCAGAAAGGCUGACUCAGCAACGGAGGCUGGAGGGGUGGCUAUGAUAAACCCUCCAGGGCCAGGGACUGCGCGUGGGCUCUCCUUCCUGGCUCUCAGCAGACACAGACACCUCACCAGGGAGAAAUUACCAUCCAUCCCGAGCCCUGAAUCAUGCUCAAGGAGAGAACCCUAGGGGAAAAGAGCCACGAGAUGGGAAAACUCAGCAGACCGUGGGCAGAGCGAAGGACCCGACCAGCUUUAAGUCCUGGUGCGGUGCCACGGCUGGAUGGUGCCUGGGUGGGGGUUGUAACAGGGCUGUUGCAUCCUGGCUGCUGCUGCAAAAAAAAAAUAGUCUUUGCUGCCAUCUACCUCUCCUGGGCUUCCCUGCAGCUGGCCCGGCUCCGUGGGGAGGCUCUGCCGUGGGCUGUGGGCUCUGGGGGGCUGCCCUGGGAGCCCCAGCACCUCUUGGCCUUGGACUGAGAUCCAGAUGGAGCCUCGUGAUGGCAGCGCUUGGGCUUCUUGGUGCUCCCCUCCAUCCUCACCUUCCUCCUCUGAUUCAGUUCCCUCCUUGGUGGCUCUUGGUCCAGCACGGCCUCGGAUGUUACUCGCUCCCCCACGGGGGGUGCUGCCUUCCCGAUCUCUGUGCCUGGGGGAAAUAAAGACCAGGAGGGGGGAAGCCAGGUGCCAGACAUCCCGCUUCACCCAGCAUCUGCCACCAAAAUGUCCUGCUCCAGCUCCAAGGCAGCAGGCUGUUCCCUCCAUGCUCCCCAUUUCAUCAUUUUUCUGGCACAGGCAGCACACCCCACACCUGGCUGGGAUUUUUUCCUACACCCCCUGGCCGAGCCUGCCCCCCCCACGCUGAUCCCUGCUGGAAGCAGCAGCAGUGGGAAGUCCUGGUCCUUUCCUUCCCGCAGCCUUGGCUCUGCUGUCCUGCUGCCCGUGCUGUAUUUGCUCCUUUGGUGCCCAAUUCAGGCUAUCUCCCCCCACCUCUUCCACUCAAUUUGUAGUUCGGUGUUAUCCCCUGAAAUCUCUGCUCCUGCCGAUGUUCUCUGCACCUUAAAGAAUAUUUAACCACCUGUUAAAUUAUUUAUCCCUCCGAGGUUUUGUGCACUCGGGGCAGCUUGCAGGCCUCCUGGAGAAUUAACUAGAGCCAUAAAUCAAAGAGACAUUUGAGAAAUUUCCCA